UAUUAAGGAUGAACCUAUCCCGAACCUGAUUCCUGUAAGAUUGAUAACCUUGUCGGAUCUGACUUCUGAAAU
ensembl:snoRNA